rnacentral:rRNA from 1 species
GUGUGAUGAAUCAUAGUAAUCGAACGAAUCGCCUGUUGUGCGAUAAAUCAUUCAAGUUUCUGCCCUAUCAGCUUUGGAUGGUAGUGUAUUGGACUACCAUGGCAGUCACGGGUAACGGAGAAUUAGGGUUCGAUUCCGGAGAGGGAGCCUGAGAAACGGCUACCACAUCUACGGAAGGCAGCAGGAGCGAAAAUUGCCCAAUCCCGACACGGGGAGGCAGUGACGAGAAAUAACAACUCUUGGUUAUUCUAAGAAGUGUAAUGAGGAUAAUUUAAAACCCUUACCGAAAGCAAUUGGAGGGCAAGUCUGGUGCCAGCAGCCGCGGUAAUUCCAGCUCCAAUAGCGUAUAUUAAAGUUGUUGCAGUUAAAAAGCUCGUAGUUGAAGUUCUGGCUGCUUGACCCUCGAGCUCUGUAGCCGAGGGCUCAGCAGUCAUCCGCUUGCAAAUAUAUGUUCGCCUUUAACCGGGCGGCUAUAUGAGUAAGCACUUUACCUUGAGAAAAACAGAGUGUUCCAGGCAGGUUUGUCCGGAAUGCAUUAGCAUGGAAUAAUAGAAUAUGACUGAAGUCGAUUUAUUGGUUUGAGGCUUUAGUAAUGAUUAAUAGGAACAGUCGGGGGCAUUGGUACUUGUCAGUCAGAGGUGAAAUUCUAGGAUUUGACAAAGACUAACAAAUGCGAAAGCAUUUGCCAAGGAUGUUUUCAUUAAUCAAGAACGAAAGUUAGGGGAUCAAAGACGAUCAGAUACCGUCCUAGUCUUAACUAUAAACUAUACCGACUCGGAUUCAGAUGAAUCAUAAAGUCCAUUUGGGACCGUAGGAGAAAUCAAAGUUUUUGGGUUCUGGGGGAAGUAUGGUCGCAAGGCUGAAACUUAAAGGAAUUGACGGUUUUGCACCACCAUGGAGUGGAGUCUGCGGCUUAAUUUGACCCAACACUGGGAAACUCAUCAGGGCAAGAAGAUUGUAGGAUUGACAGAUUGAGAGUUCUUUCUUGAUUGGUCUAGUGGUGGUGCAUGGCCGUUCUUAGUUGGUGGAGUGAUUUGUCUGGUUAAUUCCGUUAACGAACGAGACCUUAACCUGCUAACUAGUACACCGAUGACAAAUCGGUGAUACUUCUUAGAGGGACUAUGUGAUGUAAUCACAUGGAAGUUUGAGGCAGUAACAGGUCUGUGAUGCCCUUAGAUGUCCUGAGCUGCACGCGUACUACAAUGGUGCUUUCAUCGAGCUUUUCCUGAUCCGAAAGGGUUUGGGUAAUCUUUUUAGUGAGCACCGUGCUUGGGAUAGAUCUUUGUAAUUAUGGAUCUUGAACUAGGAAUUCCUAGUAAGCACGUGUCAUCAGCA